GUCAGAGUGAGAGGAGAAAAGUGUCUUUUUAGUUUAGUUUUGUCAAACCUGAGGAUUCGUUUUUCAGUUUAGCCGGAGCUGUGCCGCAAACGUAGCUGCCGACAUCCCCACGACGCACCCAAGUGGUGGCCCGGAAGCUGGGGAUAGAAAAGUGGCCUCCCCGAAUGCCAGGCACACAGGCCUUACUACCAGAAGCUUGAGCUGGGAGCCUCGGCCGUCGCAUCUCUAAGAAUUUUAAACGGAAGAACGCAGAAGAAUUCUCUUUAUGUUACCUUUAUUUAGCAACAAAUCAACUUGACUCAACUGAUACUUACUGAGUGCCUUUAAAGGAUGUGCUGAAACAGGUGGUGACUUUUCAAAUAAAAAUUCAGAGCCACAGGGAGAAAGUUGCAAUGUGGAACCAUCAACAUAUUGUACUUGUACUGAAUCAUCUUCAUAAAGUAUCAUUCGCAGUUCAGCUGCCAUUACAACGGCAGGAUAAG
ensembl:lncRNA novel transcript